rnacentral:rRNA from 1 species
GAUGAACGCUGGCGGCGUGCCUAAUACAUGCAAGUCGAGCGAACAGACGAGGAGCUUGCUCCUCUGACGUUAGCGGCGGACGGGUGAGUAACACGUGGAUAACCUACCUAUAAGACUGGGAUAACUUCGGGAAACCGGAGCUAAUACCGGAUAAUAUAUUGAACCGCAUGGUUCAAUAGUGAAAGACGGUUUUGCCGUCACUUAUAGAUGGAUCCGCGCCGCAUUAGCUAGUUGGUAAGGUAACAGCUUACCAAGGCAACGAUGCGUAGCCGACCUGAGAGGGUGAUCGGCCACACUGGAACUGAGACACGGUCCAGACUCCUACGGGAGGCAGCAGUAGGGAAUCUUCCGCAAUGGGCGAAAGCCUGACGGAGCAACGCCGCGUGAGUGAUGAAGGUCUUCGGAUCGUAAAACUCUGUUAUUAGGGAAGAACAAAUGUGUAAGUAACUAUGCACGUCUUGACGGUACCUAAUCAGAAAGCCACGGCUAACUACGUG